CAUGAUUCUUGCCCUGAGUGGCGU
rnacentral:miRNA from 1 species